AUUAGAAGUAGCUCUGAUAUUGGAAGUUCCAAUUUAUAUUGCCAGCAGCAGAGACCAUUGUCUGCAAAACACGCUAUGUCUAAAAAUAAAUUAAACACCUAACUUGAUGAAUGACACAGAACAGCCCAAAGCUGUAGGAAUACAAACACGUUUACUCUAAAUCAGAUAAUAUCCUUGGGAAUUCAUCAAUCAAGACCACUUUUAAAUUACUGCUGGAAUUAUCAGUGCUAGUAAUUUCAUUAUACAUACGUAAUCAAUGCUUCAUAAAAAGUGUAUAAGAAUGCUAAGAGAGUUCUUAGGUGCAUAAGUUAAUAUCUUGCUGGUAGGAGCAUAUGCUAUGAAAAACAGUAUUUGUUUAACAUUUCAGUAUUUCUAUAUAGUCUACUGAAACACAAGACACAGAAAAGAAGAAACUGGAAGAUACAGAAGAACUUAAGGUUUCUGUGAAGUUAAAUAAGUUUUGCUUCUGUUACAUAUAUAUAUGUGCAUAUACAUAGUUUGUACCACAUAAAUAUUCAUAUGACUUAUUUGAUGAGUAGAAAAGACUGCCAACUGUAUUCCAGCCACACUACCUUCUGGCCAACUGCUUCAAGUAAUAACUUAACAGACCAUCUGUAGAGUGAGUGUACCAUGU